GGCUUGGAAGCUUUGUAGAAGCUGUAGAUUCUUGAUCUAAAGAAGGGGGUUCCUCCCAAGCCA
rnacentral:tRNA from 1 species